UAGGGAAUCUUCGGCAAUGGGGGCAACCCUGACCGAGCAACGCCGCGUGAGUGAAGAAGGUUUUCGGAUCGUGAAGCUCUGUUGUAAGAGAAGAACGUGUGUGAGAGUGGAAAGUUCACACAGUGACGGUAACUUACCAGAAAGGGACGGCUAACUACGUGCAG
rnacentral:rRNA from 1 species